rnacentral:misc_RNA from 1 species
GUCUAAACAACGUUACAGCAUUGUUGAUAAACACUGUACCUGUGGCUUUGAAAGCAGAUAAAAGCCUUCAGAAAAGAGAAACUGCUCCUCCAAAAAAGAUGACAAGAAAAGGAAGUUGUUCUAAGUUGGAAAACAUAAAAAUUAUAACUGAAACAAUGAUGAAUCAACCAUUGAUAAUAAAUUAAGAAGUUUCCAGUAACAGUAAUACACAUUAUGGGAAGACGUAAAAGUAAAAGGAAACCUCCUCCGAAAAGAAAAGCAAUUGAGGCAUUGGAGACACAGUUCACAUGUCCAUUUUGUAAUCAUGAAAAGUCUUGUGAUGUAAAGAUGGAUAGACAAAGAAAUACUGGACAGAUUACAUGUAGAGUAUGUAUGGAAGAUUUUCAGACAUCAAUAAACUAUCUGUCUGAACCAAUUGAUGUUUACAGUGAUUGGAUUGAUGCUUGUGAAAAUGCUAAUCAAUAAAGAAAGUGGAUGUAAAGUUUGAAAAUAUAUCUCAUUUAAUUACUUUGAUCUGAAUUAUGAAAAUCAUUGUAUGAAUGCAUUGGCCACUACCUUUUAUCAGUUUUUGAGAAACUAAAAUUAGAAGUUUCUCAAAUGUAAGCAAUUUAAAUAUGAUGUUAACAAAAACUGAUAUCAAAUCUUUAUUACAUUAACUUUAUUAAUUUUUUUUUUACCAUAAAGUUUGUGGUACAAAAAUUCUUUGUUUUUGUGUUUAGUAACUUUCAGGUGUGCAUGUAUAGUCAGUAUUUGUUUCCUAAAUGAUAAUGUAAUUUUAUAAAUGUACAGUGGCAGUGCACUUUACAUUAGGAGAAAAAUGAGAAAUGACAAUUUAAUAUAUAUGUUUGUAAUUUUUUCUAUGGCAAUUACUGUAUUAAUGGUUGUCAUAUUUUUUGUAUUCAAAAACAAAUUUUCAGGUAUAGAAAUGUAUGCCUGAAAGGUCAAUUUCUUAGUGAAUGCACUUAUAUGUUAUGAUGAAUUAUGGAAAAUAUUUGAUUUUUGGUGCUGGAGUCUCAAAGUUCCUAUGAAAUAUAUCAGAUUCUAUAAACUUGAAAGUUGCAUUUAUUCACUUUAAAGUUAAGAAGUAAAUCUUUCCUUCAUAUACUUGGAAUAAUUAACAUCUUGAAAGAACAAUAUAAAUGCAGUUUUUUCAUUUGGAAGUCUCUCACUCUCAGAAACAUGGUCCAUCAGAUCAGAAGAUGUCAUCAAUUGUUACUACUAUCUUUCAUUUAAGAAUGAGUACACAUUUUAUUUGAAAUCUCAAUGACAGUAGGGAUAAUGUCAGAAAGUGUUGCUUGAAAGCUGUAAUAAAGUGAACUUUACAAAUAGA